GUGCAUGUGAGUCCAGCAGAGAAGACACGUGACCAUCUCCCAUCUCGGAGAUAAUUAGCUGGUGCUUCCUUCCUAAAUGAGACCUGGGGCUCACAGGGGUGAAUGGAAGGCUUCCUCCUGACCCAUCUACGUUAUUAGGUUGAGCUUGGUGACCAAAAUGACAUCACAGAGUCUGUAGCUGUCACUCUCUGGACCGGCCCACUUCUGAAGUACCACAUACCUUGGGUCAGAGCCAGCCCAGCCAAAUGGGCCCAGCCUGACUUGACUUAGCAGAUAGGUGCCACGCUUCACUCAAGCAAACGGAGGCGAAUUGUUUCCUCACAAACAGCUGGAGCUGUCCAAUAUGCCCCACCUGCAAUGGAAGAGGAGAUGGAGUCUUGGAUGAGGAGGACGCCGCUCACUCUCUGUGAGGAUAUUGUAGGAUCCUGUGGUGCUGGAUUCACAAAUGCCUGCUACUGAGGUUCAAACUCAUCUAGUUGCCUUGCUGUAGAAUUGUUGUGGAUUAGGUGAGCACCUGGUCAUGAGCACAGGGAGAGGUACACGCAGUGUAUUUUGGGAUGGAUGUGGUUGGGAAGGGCGCAAAGGCCCCUGAAGAGCAUCCCAUCAUGGAGAAAGGAGACAUCCAUUAGUAGUACACCAUUCUCUCCCCUGCUCUUGGGUUCAGCACCCGGAGCGAUGGAGGCAGCUGAUUUGCACCUUCUUGGACUAAUACAUUUGCGUGUGUUUUAAUUUCAAGGCUGAUUUUUCUGUUUGAAUAGUUGUUUUCUACCACCCUCGCUGUCUAGUGCUUUGGUUUCCUUUGAACAGUGCACUUACAUGAGGAACCAGGAGCUGGACUUAAUGAUGCUUGUGGGUCUCUUCCUCUUGGGUUAUUCUGUGACUCCAUGAUCUCUUUCUCACAGGAAGGGCUGAGGGUGAUGCAUAGAUAGCAGGCUGAGGAAUGUACUGCAAACUCUACAGACAGUUACUAUGAUAGAAGACCAUAGUUUCCUCAGAUGAAGAGUGCUGCCUGUAUAGAUACUGUCAUGAUGAUGGAUGACUACAUUGGCUUACUUUCUCACUGCUGUUAAGGGCAGGCCUGGAGAGGAUUUCCCAGCACAGACAGAGUACGCUUCUGAUGUCAUGUCUUUGGCUCUGCUCAUGUUUUUCCAUACCGGCCACCACUAACACCAGGUCAGUAACCAGGGAUUCCUUCCCCUUCUGCACAGGCAUCCAAAAGCUCUGUCCCAUUUCAUCUGUGACUCUAGGAGCCACCGAAGAAGGAAAGUAGCUGAAAAAUGAAUGUAUUAGAUGGCACCAGAGAAGUCAUCUGCUGUUCAGUCCACCUCUCUGCUGUGCCAGAGAACAGUCACCAUUCAGCUGAGAUGAAGGAGAAAACUGUGGACAGCAGAGCUGAGGAAUUGCCUCUCUUUUCUGGGGCGCUGUGCAUACACCUGUUUUGCAUGGCAUUGGUAUGCUUUUACAGAAUGUUUUUAAUUCAUCCUACCUUCUUCCAGCAUGCUGGAGCAGCAUGACUGCCCAUGGCUAUUGCAGUUGACCACGAUAAUUGCAGGCCUUCGUAGUCCAACACAAGAUAGCCUAAGGUUGUGGCUUCUUGACUGCUCUCAACUGCUUUAAUAAGCUGCUUGCAGGCUGCACUAUAAUGUGUUUGAGGAGACAGUAAUGCUGCAGCCUGAGUCCAACCAUUCUCAGCUUUAUUGCUGUUGAGAACACCAGGGAAGCAGUAGACACAGUGGAUUUUCAAGGCUUCUGACUCUCGAUGUACCCGCCUCCCAACUUUGAUACAUCAACACAGAGUUCAAGGAAUGCCCCCAGGAAAAUAAUCUCUCGGAUAAAUGGGAUGGAAAGGAACGUUUGCUUAAAAUGUUUAAACAUAACCUAAUUAGUAAAUAAAGUGCGAUUCAAAUAAGGCAUGGAGAAUUCCUGCGUGGCAGUGCUACGCCACUUGUGAAUAUUUCUUGUGUAGUGGAAGAGGAAAAAAAUAAAACAGAUGCCAAAGGAAAUAAGGCUCUAAAUUCAAAACACAGCUAUGGGCUCCCAUUUUUCUUUGAAGAUCAUUUCAAAUCAAAAGAGAAGAAAUCUUCCUAAACAUACCCACAUUCAAAGAUGAAGUUUCCAAAGAGCUGGGCCUUUCAAGGUAGGAAAGUAAGCAUGGUCACAAGCUCUGUGCCACAGCAAUGAUGCCUCAGAGUCCUUUUUUAUCAUCACAAAGAUCAAAAUUUCUUCAUCUGCUGAGGACAACUUAAUGUUACUAAUGCUAAUCAACCUUCACCUCUGCAAAGUACACUCAUAUAACUCUUUAUAGCACCGAGCUAUCUUACUUUGAGUAAGUCAAACUGUUAAUCAUUGCAUUGAGUCUGCUUUCUGACCUACGAGCAAGGAACGUCCCUACCUUGGCUUUUGUUCCCGAACCUUUUGUCCCUGGAAGACGAUUUUCUACUGGCACAAUUAAGGACAAGGGGAAAGUUUAUUAUCUCUCAUGUUUUUCGUGCUCUCCUGAGCCACUGUGUAUAUUGCUAUCUGAAUCCAUGCUGUACUAGUGAUUAUACUAACAGUAUUCGUGUGCUCUGUGCCUGCACAAGCUGGCAGUGCACAAGAGUGAGGAGCACAGCUACACCUGGGCUUCUGCAGCAGCUGGGUAAGGCCUGGAGGUGAGAGUCAGGUCACAGCCAU